UAAUGUUUUGUGUCCUCUCAGGACUAUACGAACGUGAAGCAUGGAGUUGAAUAGGAGCAUCAAGAAAGUGAAGUCUGCUUGAGGACUAGCUGCAGCAGCAGACCACAACUUACAAAGCUCUGAGCGUGGAGUUCCCUGGGAAGUGCACAGCGUGGGAACACCACCGCAGGUGUCACCAAAGCCUUGCGGAGAAAGGGCCUGGGGUCUGCUGAAGCAGAGAGAGCCAUGUGGGAGUGAUUCAUUAAGCUGCAGUUUGCACACUGCACAUUGUGAGGGGUGAAAUGGACUAGAUGGAGCCCUAUUUGGGGAAAAGAUCUGAAUAGGAUUCUGCUAAAUGGGUCCCAUCAACUGCUUUAAAGGCAUGAAACUGGUGAGCAGGUGAAAUGCAGGAAUGCAGAGCUAUGGCCUUCACUCCAGCUUUGCUCUCAGGCUAUCUCUGUCCUCACAUGGAUAAAAUCAAAGCUAUUGAAAAUGUGGUAAGUAAAAGCACAGACUGGGUACAGAGUUUGGGAGACUGGAAAGUAACAUGGUCCUUGUGGCAUGAGUUUGCGAGUGAGUGAUGCAGGGUUGAGUGUGAUCCUCCAAUCGCCAUGAGCAGACUUGAGACCCUGCUGAUAGCACUGUCUGCUGAACUGACACAGUCUCCUAGAGAUGG